GAUAUCAAUUUGGUUUUACUUUUUAUCAUAUCUACUAUUUCCAUCGAUUGUUUCUUAUGAUAUUAUCUGGUCUAGAAAGCACAUUGGUUACUGUUUUGGAAAGGAUCUUUAAGACAAGAUAUGGUGCUUCUCUCAUCCAAGUAUAUGAUAUGCCUUUGUUUCUUGGAUGUAUGUAUUAUGUGUCUCCUAGGAUAUAGUUUUUUUAAACAUUUCUCUUUGUUCUUACUUCAGCUUUUCAUACAAAUAGACUUAGCAGCAGAAUCUCGAGAAGUCAGAUCUUCAGCAAUUAAAAUGAUAUGGAUUAAAGUUGUUUAUGCUUCUUUUAAUUUACUUUGAGAGGGAUGAAUGGUAUCGCUCCUAAUUAGAAAAACUACUGCUUUAUUGGCAUGUUGUAUACUUGCUUUCCAUAUGUUCCUUCUCCUGUCUUCUUGAAUUUUUUUCGGGGAGUUGAUUACUUAGCAGACAAAUUAUUAGUGUGGCCUGGCAUCAUAACAACCAUCAUCAAGUUACUUAAAUUCUGAUAAUUUAAAUGAAGGUGUUGUACCGGUUUUUCAAUUAUCAAUUUAUUAGUUGGAAUCUGAUUCUUGGGGUUCGAGGAUUGUUAUGUGUUUGAUGUUUCAUGUUGUAGAGGGUUUGGGCAAAAUUUGAUUGGAGUCUUACAGAAAAGAGCAAGCUUGAUGCUCAUCAACCAGAGCUUUUCAUAGGAUUGUCCUUGACAAGGUGAAAGGGACACUCUGCAUGUUUAACAGUGUUCUUAUCAAUAUGACCAAAGCGAGUAUGUACAUUCUUAGUUUUGAGGCAUGCAUUUGCAGAAAGUUACAUGCAACUGAUGUUGUCAGUGAUUUUCUAAUUUAUGAUGUUAUUGCAUUAUUUUAUGGAAUAUUUUCUUUUGAUUAGGUUUUAGGUCAAUGUAAAUGGCAUGCGUCACUUGACUCUGAUUUUGUUUAUGGGGAGUGUAUUUUGCACAAUCUUAAUCUAUUUGUAAGAAAUUGGAAGAUGUAUAUUCAUCAAUGAAGAGGAACUCCAAAGACAUGUUCUGAUCUGAUUAUUUUUUGUUGGAUGCCUUUUUUCUUCAAUUGGAUCAAUCAAUGCACAAUGUUCUGAUUGUUUUGUGGUGGAUGCCUUUUUUCUUUUUUUCUAAUCCUAAGGUGCAUGAUUCACAUAUUUAGCUGCAGGUUCAGUAGUUGCAGGUAAGAGAUCAUCAGAAUUUGAGUUUGAAGAGUCUGAUCCAGAGUGAUAAGUAUUAAUUUAAAGGAUCUACCAGUGGAGAACACUUAAGGAUCGGGAUACUACUCAGACAAAUUUGACUCUUCUUGCUAGUUUUGCUCGGCAGGGAAGAAGGUUUCUUAACCUUCCACUCUCUGAGCCUGAAAUUCAUGAAGAGUUUUUUAAGGGCCUCAAUAUCACAACAGGGCAUAAAAAAUUCUUCACAACAAGCAUUUCAAACAUAUUAUGGUGCAGCAGCAGAACUACUUCAAUCCGAGCAUUCUGUAAGAGUUAUGUGGCCUAGCUUAAGAUAGUUUUACUUUUCUAUCUUUCUUUCUGGGUCUAGAGGGUUAGAUGUUGAUUUUGCACCUUAUACGUAUGCUUUAUCUAUGUUGGACAGAGCUUCUAAUUUAUUUUCUUGCUAAUGAUAUCUGUUUCUUUAUAUCAAUAGUGGAAUACUGGUUUUGAUUGUAAUUAAUGCAUUUUCGUGAUACUUUUAGUCACUUUGCAAAAUGGAGCAUGAAUAUGCCAAAUUCCUUAAUGCUAAAAGAGAGCUCAGUGAUGAAAAUGUCACUUCAUAUGAGAAACAAGUGUCUCUUCAUAUGAGAAACAACGGAAAUCUUAUGAACAAUUGAACCGCAAUGUCUCAUUGUAAGUUGCUUUACAUUUUUUAUGCCAUUUAUUUUCAUUUUUUAAUUCAUGACUUGGUGGUGCAGGUCAGAUGGAUCACAUAGUUUGGUAACAGUUGGUAAAAGAGUUGAAGGUGCAACCAGAUGGAUAAUAUGCUUCUUGUUGAAGGUUCCACCAGAAGAGCAGAAGCUUGCAGUCAGUCAACUGUGGUGAAUCAUAUUUUUAUGUUUUUGGAUCAAUUGACAUAGCUAGGUUGGGUUGUAGAGUCAUCUAGGUUUGUUUUUGAGAGAGAUGUAUGUCUAGACUUGGAUUUGAAUUUGUUCAAACUUGGAUAGCUUGUGAAUUUGGUGGAAGAAUGUUGAUAUUUUUUAAAUGCAAUGAA